rnacentral:lncRNA from 1 species
CCCCGCCCUCGCAUUCCCUCGUCGGGCCCCAUUCAUCCACAGUUUGAACCCUGACGCGAGCCCACCGAGCCUCCCGGGCGCGGGGUGCUGUCUGCGUGUCCACGCCUCUGCGCCUCCGCCCGGCCCACCUCCCGCGCAGCCUUGCGGACGGCCACCGCCUAAAGUCCCUUCUAGCCGUGGUCUCUCCCCUCCCCUGCGGGAUGCCAAGAUCUGGGGACAAAGAUCAUUAAUAUCUUUAAGGGACAGCUGUUGCCUCCUUGUUUGCCUCAUUUUGUACCCUGAGAACUUGACAUGGCUUUCUGCCUGCUUGGGGCAUGCAGGUUGUUUAUACAGGCAGCUCAACCAUCAGAUUGGGAGCCUCCCAAAUAUGGCCGGAUGGAAAUAUGGAUUGCACCACAUCUGGAACUGGAUAUGGCUGGACUGAAAUAUCAAAGAACCUAGAGGAGAAGAAAGAAAAAAAUCAGAUGACCAGACAGUUUUAAGCAACUAAUGUUGAAUUUAUAGAGACAAUAAAGCCCCUUUAGAAAACCAGCCUGCUGUCUUGCUUACAUGAUUCUUGGCAGCCUUACCAGAACCAAGACUGCAUUUGAACUUCCUUGGAAGGAACCAUAGCAGAUUCUCCUCACUACCCAGAUGGCAGCCAAACUUCAGAGUCUUCAACCUUGAGUCCAGAACUCCCAAUAAAAAGGGCUCCUGCAGACUCUUGGAACUACACACCAGCUGGAGAUCCAAAAUUAAAAUUGACUAUGGAGGCUCCUCCCCAGAAGCAGAUGGCAUCUUGAGGUGGACAGCUCUCCCAAGAUCGCAGAUCAAGAUCUCCAUCUCCAAUAUAAAACCUUGAUUCUUUUUGCCUUUCUACUACCUGCUUUUUCUCUCUGUUACUGCACAGGAAGACAAUGCUCCUUAACUCUGGCAACUAUCCCUGAAUAUACCAGUAAGGCCAUGUUGGCAUAACAAAACUCCCUAGACUUUCUUGCUAGGGUGGUUUUAAAUAAUAGUGUUGCUUUAGAUUACUUAUUGGCUGAACAAAUAAGAGUUUACGUCAUAGCAAAGUAUCUAUUAUACCUGGAUCAACACUGUUAGC